UCUUUUCCUUUUUUUCCAGCAGCCGCGGUAAUACGGAGGAUGCGAGCGUUAUCCGGAUUUAUUGGGUUUAAAGGGAGCGCAGACGGGUCGUUAAGUCAGCUGUGAAAGUUUGGGGCUCAACCUUAAAAUUGCAGUUGAUACUGGCGUCCUUGAGUGCGGUUGAGGUGUGCGGAAUUCGUGGUGUAGCGGUGAAAUGCUUAGAUAUCACGAAGAACUCCGAUUGCGAAGGCAGCACACUAAUCCGUAACUGACGUUCAUGCUCGAAAGUGUGGGUAUCAAACAGG
rnacentral:rRNA from 1 species